UACGUAGGGUGCGAGCGUUGUCCGGAAUUAUUGGGCGUAAAGAGCUCGUAGGCGGUGUGUCACGUCGGCCGUGAAAACCUGCAGCUUAACUGUGGGCGUGCGGUCGAUACGGGCAUCACUGGAGUUCGGCAGGGGAGACUGGAAUUCCUGGUGUAGCGGUGAAAUGCGCAGAUAUCAGGAGGAACACCGGUGGCGAAGGCGGGUCUCUGGGCCGAUACUGACGCUGGAGGAGCGAAAGCGUGGGGAGCAAAACAGG
rnacentral:rRNA from 1 species